AAUAAACGCUGGCGGCGUGCCUAACACAUGCAAGUCGAGCGAGAAAGCUCCUUCGGGAGUUAGUAAAGCGGCGAACGGGUGAGCAACACGUGAGAAUCUACCCUUUAGUGAAGAAUACCCUCGAGAAAUCGAGGCUAAUACUGCAUACGUCCCUUCGGGGAGAAAGAUGGCCUCUUUGCUAUCGCUAAAGGAUGAGCUUGCGUACUAUUAGCUAGUUGGCGGGGUAAAGGCCCACCAAGGCAAUGAUGGUUAACCGGCCUGAGAGGGUGUACGGUCACACUGGAACUUAGACACGGUCCAGACUCCUACGGGAGGCAGCAGUGAGGAAUCUUGCGCAAUGGGCGAAAGCCUGACGCAGCGACGCCGCGUGGAGGAUGACGGUUUUCGGAUUGUAAACUCCUGUUAAGCGGGAAGAAAGCCUUGUUUCUAAUACAAGCAAGGUAUGACGGUACCGCUAGAGAAAGCACCGGCUAACUUCGUGCCAGCAGCCGCGGUAAUGUCGUC
rnacentral:rRNA from 1 species